UCUGGGUUUAUCCCAGCGGUCCCGUCAGAGAAAUAUAACUGACGGCGAGGGUUGCGCUCGUUGCGGGACUUAACCCAACACCUCACGGCACGAGCUGACGACAGCCAUGCAGCACCUGUGCUAGCUCCCCGAAGGGUCCUUCACGUUUCCGAUCCGUACCACUAGCAUGUCAAGCCCUGGUAAGGUUCUUCGCGUUGCAUCGAAUUGAACCACAUGCUCCACCGCUUGUGCGGGUCCCCGUCAAUUCAUUUGAGUUUCAACCUUGCGGCCGUACUCCCCAGGCGGACAACUUAACGCGUUGCUGCGACACCAAGAGGCUAACCCUCCCGACAUCUAGUUGUCAUCGUUUACAGCUAGGACUAC
rnacentral:misc_RNA from 1 species